UGUAAGCAUUUCGUCAUUUUGAAACUUCUUCAAAAUGUACAUUUUCCAAACUACUCAGGAAACCAAGUGAAAAGUGUGGUUUCCAGCUAUUCCGAUAGGAACACUUUAGUGUUCCGACAGCACUUGCGUUGUGAAUCUUCUCACUUUCUGUCUUGGGAGCCAUAAGGGAUAAAUAAGGAUAAAUGUGAGAAAACCAAACUAAAGGGAGCAACAACAUUAGAGGAAAAUGUUAAGCACGGAUAGCAAGCAAAGGAGAAUCGACACAUACUCAGUCGGAGAACCUGAAGAAGGAACACAACACAAAGCAAAAUAGCUAUUUUGAAAUGCAUAUCAAGCAAGUAUUACAGAAGCGCCCCAAUAAUCUACAUUUUAAAAUAGCAGCUCGCGGCACAAAACGUUGCACUAAGUGACCUGUUGCAAGACAACAAAGAGUAAAAUUACUAAAGAUUAUUUUGAGCUAAAAGCACUUGAAACGGCAGACAUAGGAAGGGCACUUGGACUUCUUUUCUUUCUGAAAGCAGGAGAUAAAACUCUUCAUGUAGAAGAUGCUCUCCCUCUACCGCGAGGAAAAAAACAA